AGGUGCAGGAUUCCUCAGAACCUUUAAGAAGCUAACAGGCAACAUGGCUCUUCAGAAAUGGGAUAUGGUUUGAAAUAUCUAAUAAUAAAGCUGAAAGAAAAAUGCAAUAAAUGGAAUGUGUUGGCUAUAUUCUGACUUUAGAAUCAUCUCAACUCAGCAGCUCAGUAAUAUCCCCAGGAAUUGUUUUAUCUUUGAGUUGGAUCUGUCUUCCUUUGGAUUGUAGCUUCCCCUUAAAAUGUUCUUCCUGGUCUCAAGAUAACUACCAGCAUCUCCUAGAUUUUAUGUAGCCUAAUUCAUUACAAAUAAAAAGAUCAUCAUUUCCCUCAGAACUGUCCAGAAUUAAUGAGAAUGGGCUCCAGGGUAGAAGAGAUUGAGGUGGUAAGUGGAAGAUUUUCCACAUGACCUUGUAUUCAGGUAACCAAAUGAACUAUUAAGUAAGCAAUC
rnacentral:lncRNA from 1 species